GGGGGGGGGGGGGAAGGGGUAACCGGGCAGUCGAGCGAAUGGAUUAAGAGCUUGCUCUUAUGAAGUUAGCGGCGGACGGGUGAGUAACACGUGGGUAACCUGCCCAUAAGACUGGGAUAACUCCGGGAAACCGGGGCUAAUACCGGAUAACAUUUUGAACCGCAUGGUUCGAAAUUGAAAGGCGGCUUCGGCUGUCACUUAUGGAUGGACCCGCGUCGCAUUAGCUAGUUGGUGAGGUAACGGCUCACCAAGGAACGAUGCGUAGCCGACCUGAGAGGGUGAUCGGCCACACUGGGACUGAGACACGGCCCACACUCCUACGGGAGGCAGCAGUAGGGAAUCUUCCGCAAUGGACGAAAGUCUGACCGACCCACGCCGCGUGAGUGAUGAAUGCUUUCGGGUCGUAAAAUUCUGUUGUUAAGGAAGAACCAUUGCUAAUUGAAUAAGCCGGCACCUUUACGGUACCUAAACCGAAAGCCACGGUUAA
rnacentral:rRNA from 1 species